rnacentral:rRNA from 1 species
AAUCUUUGAACGCACAUUGCGCCCGUUAGCAUUCUAGCGGGCAUGCCUGUCCGAGCGUCAUUUCAACCCUCAGGGUCCCCGUUCCGGCGGGGAACCUGGUGUUGGGGAUCGGCCCGCCCCGUGCGGCGCCGUCCCCCAAAUUCAGUGGCGGUCUCGCUGCAGCCUCCCCUGCGUAGUAGUUACAACCUCGCAUCGGAGCUCAGCGCGGCCACGCCGUAAAACCCCCGACUUUCUGAACGUUGACCUCGGAUCAGGUAGGAAUACCCGCUGAACUUAAGCAUAUCAAUAAGCGGAGGAAAAGAAACCAACAGGGAUUGCCUUAGUAACGGCGAGUGAAGCGGCAACAGCUCAAAUUUGAAAUCUGGCCCCAGGCCCGAGUUGUAAUUUGCAGAGGAUGCUUUUGGCGCGGUGCCUUCCGAGUUCCCUGGAACGGGACGCCAUAGAGGGUGAGAGCCCCGUCUGGUUGGAUACCAAGCCUUUGUAAAGCUCCUUCGACGAGUCGAGUAGUUUGGGAAUGCUGCUCUAAAUGGGAGGUAUAUGUCUUCUAAAGCUAAAUACCGGCCAGAGACCGAUAGCGCACAAGUAGAGUGAUCGAAAGAUGAAAAGCACUUUGGAAAGAGAGUUAAACAGCACGUGAAAUUGUUAAAAGGGAAGCGUUUAUGACCAGACUUGGGCCGGUUAAUCAUCCAGCGUUCUCGCUGGUGCACUUUGCCGGUCCAGGCCAGCAUCAGUUCGCUGCGGGGGAUAAAGGCGUCGGGAAUGUGGCUCCUCCGGAGUGUUAUAGCCCUUCGCGCAAUACCCUGCGGUGGACUGAGGUUCGCG